UACGUAGGGUGCAAGCGUUGUCCGGAAUUAUUGGGCGUAAAGAGCUCGUAGGCGGUCUGUUGCGUCGGCUGUGAAAACCCGGGGCUCAACUCCGGGCCUGCAGCCGAUACUCCCGGACUGGAGGCAGGUAGGGGAGAGCGGAAUUCCCGGUGUAGCGGUGAAAUGCGCAGAUAUCGGGAAGAACACCGGUGGCGAAGGCAGGUCUCUGGGCAUUAACUGACGCUGAGGAGCGAAAGCAUGGGGAGCGAACAGG
rnacentral:rRNA from 1 species